rnacentral:lncRNA from 1 species
GGCGAGGGGAGGGGAGGGGGAGAGGGGUGGGUGGGUGAUGGGGGGUGGUGCGGAGGGGAGGAGAGGAGGGGAGUAGUUUAUAGACGGCGACGAGCGAGCGCGGGCCGGCUUGCUUGCUGCUGCGCCUCUCGGGCGCACGGAGAGGCGAGCGACGGGCAGGCGCAGGGAACCGCGACCGGGCGGAUGGAUCAGGAAAGGGGCCGCUGGGCGAACGGGAGGGCGAGGAGGGGGGUGGCCGCGGUUGGGUUUGUGUGGUUUUUAAAACCGGGGUGGG